UCCAUUCCCCCUUUCUCCCUGCCCCCUUUUCUCUCUUCUUUCCCACUCCACGACUCCUCUUAGUACUGGGGAAUCAAGCCCAGAGCUUUGUUCGCACUUUAGGGCUAUCCCUAGCCUGGAAACAUUCAGAUAAGCCAAUCAUGACCCUCAGACAAGCUUACAACACAUGUCUGUGAAGUGUCUAGAUUUUUGUUGUUGUUGUUGUUGUUUGUUUGUUUGUUUGUUUUUUCUUCACGAUGAGAGGUCUGUGGUCCAGAGAAGAAAGGCAGCUUGUAGAGGGAUGGGACAGUCGCAGCUGCAGACAGGAUCUGGGGCAGAGCUGAGUGUGGACAACAGGCUCAGCCCAGAGUUUUGCCUUAGGGCAAGCUGUGUUCUCCUAAGCCAUUGUCCUGUGAAGCAGCUCGGCUUCAGUGGGUUAUGGGUCAGGUGAGGAGGUUCCCUAUGAAGCACACAGGACAGGCAAAGUUUAAUUUCUCCCUUCAUCGACUCGGCAUGGCCCUGUGGUUUACCUUGCUCAAUAGAUCUCCAACGCACCUGACAGCAGCACGUGCUCAAUAAUUGCUCAGCUUGGGGCUUUUAGGAGUGAGCUCUGCUGGUGUGUGCAGGAUGGAAGGCUUCUUAGCUGAGAAGCAAGUCCCAGCCGCAGCUGCCCCGAGGCCUCUGACGUGUCACGACUCCAUCUUGCACCUCCAUCCCAGCCAGCUGAAUGCAGUCACAAGGAGCCCAGAAAAGAUCAGAAAGAAACCGCUUAUCAAAACCCAAUAAAGUCAACUCUAUUCUCCGA